rnacentral:rRNA from 1 species
AUUGAACGCUGGCGGCAGGCCUAACACAUGCAAGUCGAACGAGCGGCGGACGGGCGAGCAGUGGCUGGGAAACUGCCUGAUGGAGGGGGCUAACUACGGGAAACGGUAGCUAAUCCCGCAUAACAUCCGGUCUGCCCAGUUGGGAUUAGCUAGUAGGUGGGGUAAAGGCUCACCAAGGCGACGCUCCCUAGCUGGUCUGAGAGGAUGACCAGCCACACUGGAACUGAGACACGGCCCAGACUCCUACGGGAGGCAGCAGUGGGGAAUAUUGCACAAUGGGCGCAAGCCUGAUGCAGCCAUGCCGCGUGUAUGAAGAAGGCCUUCGGGUUGUAAAGUACUUUCAGCGGGGAGGCGUUACCCACAGAAGAAGCACCGGCUAACUCCGUGCCAGCAGCCGCGGUAAUUC